rnacentral:rRNA from 1 species
UACGUAGGGUGCGAGCGUUAAUCGGAAUUACUGGGCGUAAAGCGUGCGCAGGCGGUUCUGAAAGUCAGCUGUGAAAGCCCCGGGCUUAACCUGGGAAUUGCGGUUGAAACUACAGGGCUAGAAUCUGGCAGAGGGGGGUGGAAUUCCACGUGUAGCAGUGAAAUGCGUAGAGAUGUGGAGGAACACCGAUGGCGAAGGCAGCCCCCUGGGCUGAGAUUGACGCUCAGGCACGAAGGCGUGGGGAGCAAACAGGG